GUUUGGAUAAGAGAAUUGUACGUAAAAGUAUGAGAAUGGUGGAUAUAGGACUAUUUAAAAGAUUAAGAACCGAAAAUGGAAGUUGUUCAAAUUGGAGAUUCGAAAAGCUUAUUUGGGAACCUAGAAAUAGGAUGUCAUAUGCCAUGAGAAGUAGGAAAGAAUUUAUAUCAAGGAUAUAGAAAAGUGAAGAAUUGAUGAAAUCAAGGAAUAAGGGAUCUCAAAAGAAAGUUUGUGGAAUUUUAGAGGAAUGAAGCACUCGAAUAAAAGGAUUUGCUUAAUUGGUUGGUGAUAAGGAAAAGUUAAAUUCUAUUUGGCCUAUAAGUUCGUUAAUGCACAAUCUAAUUGAUAUUUUUAGUUUGUGAUGGUUAUGUAUGUAAGGAAGGAAGAUAAGUUUGGAUAAGAGAAUGGUGGGUAAAAGUAUGAGAAAGGUGGAUAAAAGACUAUUCAAAAUGUUGGAACCGAAAAUGGAAGUUUGUUUAAAUUGGAGAUUCGAAAAGCUUGUUUUGAAACCAAGAUAUAGGAUGUCAUAUGCUAUGAGAAGUAGGAAAGAAUUUAUAUCAAGAAUAUGGAAAAGCGAAGAAUGGUUGGAAUCAAGGAAUAAUGGAUCUCAAAAGAAAGUUGGUAGAAUUUUAGAGGAAGUACUUAAAUAAAAAGAUUUGCUUAAUUUGUUUGUGAUAAAGGAAAGUUUAAUUGUAUUUGGUCUAUUAGUUUGAUAAUGGACCAUCUUUUGGUUAUUUUUAGUUUGUUAUGAUUACUUAGGUAAGGAAGAAAGAUAAGUUUGGAUAAGAAAAUUGUGGGUAAAAGUAUGGGAAAGGUAGAUGAAGGACUAUUCACUUUCAUAAAUGUUAGAAUUGAAAAUGUUGUUUGUUCAAAUUAGAGAUUUGAAAAGCUUUCUUUAGAAAAAAAAAAAAAUGUUAUAUGCCAUGAAAAAUAGGAAAGAGUUUAAAUGAAGGAUUUGACAAACUGAAGAAUUAUUGGAAUCAAGAAAUAAAAGAUAGCAAAACCACGUUUGUGGAAUUUUAGAGGAAAGAAGCACUGGAAUAAGUGGAUUUGCUUUAUUGGUUGGUGAUAAGGAAAAGUUCAAUUCUAUUUGGUCUAUAAGUUCGUCAAUGAACAAUUUUUUGGAUAUUUUUAAUUUUUGAUUGUUAUGUAUGUAAUGAAGGAAGAAUGAUAAAUUUCGAUUAGGGAAUUUUGGGCAACAAUAUGAAAAUGGUGGAUGAAGGACUAUUCGCUUUCAUAAACGUUAGAGUCGAAAACGGAAGUUUGUUUAAAUUUGAUAUUUGAAAAGUUUGUUUUAGAACCAAGAAAGAGGAUGUCAUAUGCCAUGAGAAGUAGGAAAGAAUUUGAAUCAAGAGCAUGAAAAAGUGAAAAUUGUUGGAAUCAUGGAAUAAGGGAUAACAAAACAAAGUUUGUGAAAUUUUAGAGAAAGGAAGGACCAGAAUAGGAGGAUUUGCUUAAUUGGCUGGUGAUAAAGAAUUGUUAAAUUGUAUUUGGUCUAUAAGUUCGUUAAUGGACAAUCUUUUGGACAUAUUUUUAGUGUGACCUGGUUAUGUAUGUCAAGAAGGAAGGAGAUAAGUUUGGAUAAGUUAAUUGUCGGUAAAUGUAUGAGAAUGGUGGAUAAAUGACUGUUCACUUUCAUAAACGUUAAACCGGAAACGGAAGUUUAUUCAUAUUGGAAAUUUGAAAAGCUUAUUUUGGAACCAAGAAAUAGGAUGUCAUAUGCCAUGAGAAAGUAGCAAAGAAUUUGAAUGAAAGGACAUGGAAAAGUGAAGAAUCCAGAAAUAAGGUACAGCAAAAGCAAAAAUAAAGUUAGUGAAAUUUUAGUGAAGUAAGCACUAGAAUAAGGGGAUUUGCUUAAUUGGUCGGUGAUAAAGACAGCCAAAGCUUGAUAUAGUUACAACUUUGGAACCACCAACCAAAUACGAUGUUUCCAUAAUCAAAUAAUAAAAGCUCAAGGUCAUAUUUCUUUUAGCAGUUUCUGACAGUAUUGAAGCUUUUCUGAUAUUUUAGUUGUCUUCUUAUAUAUGUAUAUUAUCUUUAUAUUCGUAAUUUUCUUUAUGAGUUGUGUGUAUGAUCUGGAGUGUUGCUUAUGCUCUGUGAUAUUUUUCUUCUGCGAGUUAUGAUUUGCUUUUGUCCAGAAUGCUUUUGUUUAAUUAUCUCUCUGAAUAGAAGCAACUUGAUGGUGCUGGUAUCGAGCUAUCGAGUCUCUUCAAGCAAAUUGAGAGUCAGGCUUCUUAUGGUUGCUAUACUACUGAAGCUUGGAAAAAGAGGAUACACUAGAUGGGGUCUCAAGUAACUGGCGAUCUUCUUGCAUCUGUAUCUGACGCAGAGAACCCUUCACAAAGGCCUGUAAGGAGGUGUAGACGAUAUGGUAAACUUUUGGAGGAGGGCGCAAGUGGAUAUCUGUAGAAGAAAUUCUCCACUCAUGAGGCUGAGGGAAUUGGAACAUAAAAUUUGGAAGUUGAUGGGUGCUCUCUUAAUAAAGUAACAUUAUUCGGCAGCAAGAACUAGGCUUCUAUCUACUUGGCCAGCACUCCGCAGCUAGCUGCUGAAAUGGGACUCAAAUUUCCUGGAGUUGUUGAGUACUGGGUAAUCCAGAGUGAUGUCCAAGGGAAAGGAACAGAACAUCCAUUAAUUGGUGUUGUCUGUGGACACUUAUUUGGUCUGAAGUUAGAGCAUUAUACAAUUAAUAGGCAGAGCCGGUAAGCUCCUGAACGAAGCGUCCACUGACUUUGAGAGUGCCAUCAUCAUCAUUAAGCACGGUAAGUCAUCAUCCCUUCUCCAUGCCCAUGCCUGUACUUACUCUCCUGCUUUACGCCAGCCCCCUGUUUUUUAAAAGAGAAAAUAAGUAUACCUAAGAUUAUACUCAAAAUUUGAAUACAUUGAUUGGAUUAAAAAGACUAAUUUCACAAUCUCAAAAAACACAAAAGCCAAAACCAAUAUCUUUGAAAUGACCUCAAAAUUAGCGAUGUGAUUGGAUUUUUGUGAAGCUUGAGAUGCCAAAAUUUGAACACAUCCCUUCCAUUAUAAACAACUGCACAUAAUCCAAUCUCUAUUGAACAAUGGAGAUCUACAUAACAUAAUUAAUGAAUAAAGUUGUACUAAAAGAAUUAAUGAAUAA